UACGGGGGGGGCAAGCGUUGUUCGGAAUUACUGGGCGUAAAGGGCGCGUAGGCGGUCUGUUAAGUCGGAUGUGAAAACUCUGGGCUCAACCCAGAGCCUGCAUCCGAAACUGGCAGGCUAGAGUUCUGGAGGGGGUAGCGGAAUUCCUGGUGUAGCGGUGAAAUGCGUAGAUACCAGGAGGAACACCGGUGGCGAAGGCGGCUACCUGGACAGAAACUGACGCUGAGGCGCGAAAGCUAGGGGAGCAAACAGG
rnacentral:rRNA from 1 species